GUGAGGAAUAUUGGUCAAUGGACGCAAGUCUGAACCAGCCAUGCCGCGUGUAGGAUGACGCAUCUAUGGUGUGUAAACUACUUUUGUAUGAGAAGAAACCUUUCUACGUGUAGAGAGCUGACGGUAUCAUAAGAAUAAGGAUCGGCUAACUCCGUGCCAGCAGCCGCGGUAAUACGGAGGAUCCAAGCGUUAUCCGGAAUCAUUGGGUUUAAAGGGUCAGUAGGUGGUUAAAUAAGUCAGUGGUGAAAUUUUGCGGCUCAACCGUAAAAUUGCCAUUGAUACUGUUUGACUUGAAUCAUUGGGAAGUAACUAGAAUAUGUAGUGUAGCGGUGAAAUGCUUAGAUAUUACAUGGAAUACCAAUUGCGAAGGCAGGUUACUAUUGAUGUAUUGACGCUGAUGGACGAAAGCGUGGGGAGCGAACAGGAUUAGAUACCCCGGUAGUCC
rnacentral:rRNA from 1 species